ensembl:misc_RNA Y_RNA Y RNA
GGCUGGUCCGAUGGCAGUGGAUUAUCCGAACUUAUUAACAUUAGUGUCACUAAAGUUGGUAUACCACCCCCCACUGCUAAAUUUGACUGGCUUAAA